rnacentral:rRNA from 1 species
UACGGAGGGGGCUAGCGUUGUUCGGAAUUACUGGGCGUAAAGCGCGCGUAGGCGGACCUGCAAGUCGGGGGUGAAAGCCCGAGGCUCAACCUCGGAACUGCCUUCGAUACUGCGGGUCUCGAGUCCGGGAGAGGUGAGUGGAAUUCCUAGUGUAGAGGUGAAAUUCGUAGAUAUUAGGAAGAACACCAGUGGCGAAGGCGGCUCACUGGCCCGGUACUGACGCUGAGGCGCGAAGGCGCGGGGAGCGAACGGG